ensembl:lncRNA
GCGAGGGUAUGAGUGCGCGAGGCUAGAGGAGAGGAAUUUAAAACGUCAACGCGGACUGAAGGGAGAGCAGGCGAGGGUAUGAGUGCGCGAGGCUAGAGGAGAGGAAUUUAAAACGUCCUUAUAGUGUGGCAGUGUGGCUGUUGUCACUGAGGACUGAUACUUCCAUCUCUCCUCUUCCUCCUCUCACUUCUACAUUUCAUUCAUCACAAAAGGUUUCCAGUAGUGACAGUAGUAGCUUUGUAAAUAAGGACGUCAUCUCGCUCUACGUCUACAUUGGUCUAUAUAAAGCUCCACGUCUACACUGGUCUACAUAAAGCUCCACGUCUACACUGGUCUACAUAAAGCUCUACGUCUACACUGGUCUACUUAAAGCUCUACGUCUACACUGGUCUACAUAAAACUCCACGUCUACACUGGUCUACUUAAAGCUCUACGUCUACACUGGUCUACAUAAAGCUCCACAUCUACAAUGGUCUACUUAAAGCUCCAUGUCUACAUUGGUCUACUUAAAGCUCCACGUCUACACUGGUCUACUUAAAGCUCCAUGUCUACACUGGUCUAAAAGAAGCUCCAC